rnacentral:rRNA from 1 species
CGGGCACUUUCGGGUGUCAGCGGCGGACGGGUGAGUAACGCGUGGGAACGUGCCCUCUGGUUCGGAACAACCCUGGGAAACUAGGGCUAAUACCGGAUACGCCCUUUUUGGGGAAAGGCUUGCUGCCGGAGGAUCGGCCCGCGUCUGAUUAGCUUGUUGGUGGGGUAACGGCCUACCAAGGCGACGAUCAGUAGCUGGUCUGAGAGGAUGAUCAGCCACACUGGGACUGAGACACGGCCCAG